rnacentral:rRNA from 1 species
CAGCCGCCGCGGUAAUACGGAGGGGGCUAGCGUUGUUCGGAAUUACUGGGCGUAAAGCGCACGUAGGCGGCUUUGUAAGUUAGAGGUGAAAGCCCGGAGCUCAACUCCGGAAUUGCCUUUAAGACUGCCGAGCUAGUAGGUGAGAGAGGUAAGUGGAAUUCCGAGCGUAGAGGUGAAAUUCGUAGAUAUUCGGAAGAACACCAGUGGCGAAGGCGGCUUACUGGCUCAUUCUAGACGCUGAGGUGCGAAAGCGUGGGGAGCAAACAGGAUUAGAUACCCGCGUAGUCCCUGUCUCUUAUAC